rnacentral:lncRNA from 1 species
CUCUCUGAACAUGAGCGUGUUCGAGGUGAUUGAAGAUUUCUUCUUCUGUUUCUGGAGUGAGCUGAAUAUUAUCUUUGAUUGGAGACAGCGGGUCUGACUUUUUACAAGAAGGGAGUUUUUCAUAAUCUCUUUUAAACUGGAAGUUUCUCCAGAGUUCACCAAUGGUGGCUUGUAGUCCCAACUUAUUUUCAGCAUCACAAUGAUUUCUCUUUUGCACAGGAGACAGUUUCUUACUUAAUCCGCUUACUUUAGCUGGUAUCAAUGGUUUCAGUUUUGUCACAAUAUGUG